UGGGGGAUAUUGCACAAUGGGGGAAACCCUGAUGCAGCAACGCCGCGUGAAGGAAGAAGGUCUUCGGAUUGUAAACUUUUGUCUUGCGGGACGAAUAAUGACGGUACCGCAGGAGGAAGCCACGGCUAACUACGUGCCAGCAGCCGCGGUAAUACGUAGGUGGCGAGCGUUGUCCGGAAUUACUGGGUGUAAAGGGGGCGUAGGCGGGUUUGCAAGUCAGACGUGAAAACUAUCGGCUCAACCGGUAGCCUGCGGUUGAAACUGUGAAUCUGGAGUGGUGUAGAGGUAAGCGGAAUUCCGAGUGUAGCGGUGAAAUGCGUAGAUAUUAGGAGGAACACCAGUGGCGAAGGCGGCUUACUGGGCACUAACUGACGCUGAGGCACGAAAGCAUGGGGAGCAAACA
rnacentral:rRNA from 1 species